rnacentral:rRNA from 1 species
AUUGAACGCUGGCGGCAGGCUUAACACAUGCAAGUCGAGGGGUAGAGGCUUUCGGGCCUUGAGACCGGCGCACGGGUGCGUAACGCGUAUGCAAUCUGCCUUGUACUGGGGGAUAGCCCAGAGAAAUUUGGAUUAAUACCCCAUAGUAUUUUCGGUUGGCAUCAACUGAUUAUUAAAGUUUUUCGGUACAAGAUGAGCAUGCGUCCCAUUAGCUAGUUGGUAUGGUAACGGCAUACCAAGGCUACGAUGGGUAGGGGUCCUGAGAGGGAGAUCCCCCACACUGGUACUGAGACACGGACCAGACUCCUACGGGAGGCAGCAGUGAGGAAUAUUGGUCAAUGGUCGCAAGACUGAACCAGCCAUGCCGCGUGCAGGAUGAAGCAUCUAUGGUGUGUAAACUGCUUUUGUACGGGAAGAAACACUGCUACGUGUAGCAGCUUGACGGUACCGUAAGAAUAAGGAUCGGCUAACUCCGUGCCAGCAGCCGCGGUAACAC